GGGAAGGUGGCUCAGUGGUAGAGCGCUUGUCUUGCAUGCUCGAGGCCCUGGGUUCGAUUCCUCAGCCCCA
rnacentral:tRNA from 1 species